UACGGGGGGGGCAAGCGUUGUUCGGAAUUACUGGGCGUAAAGGGCUCGUAGGCGGCCAACUAAGUCAGACGUGAAAUCCCUCGGCUUAACCGGGGAACUGCGUCUGAUACUGGAUGGCUAGAGGUUGGGAGAGGGAUGCGGAAUUCCAGGUGUAGCGGUGAAAUGCGCAGAUAUCAGGAGGAACACCGAUUGCGAAGGCAGCUCGCUGGGACGUAACUGACGCUGAGACGCGAAAGCGUGGGGAGCAAACAGG
rnacentral:rRNA from 1 species